rnacentral:rRNA from 1 species
UACUACAGCCAUACUACCCUGAAUGUGCCUGAUCCCAUCUGAUUUCAGAAGUUAAGCAGGGUCAGACCUCGUUAGAACUUGGUUGGAAGAAAAAGUGACAUAGAUA